UCUGCGUUUUUUCCUUCUCCAUUCUCUCCUAGAGCGAUUCCACUUGAAGUCGAAGAAGGCGAUUCCAUCCCUCGAAGCGCCUCCGUCGAAGAUGGCACGUCCCUCCCCUCAAAGCCGCCGCCUUCUCUCCCUCAGUGUCUUGAUGGUUCUCUGAGACCCACACUGAAGUUCUGCCUUUAUUCGACCAAGGACCAAGGAGCCCUGCCACCGCACCACCGCACUCCAACUCCAAGGACUGGAAAUUGCCGAGUUGACUCAGAACCAGCAUGGUGGAAAUCUUGCAAUACCGGCUGAUAGGUUUCUGCAUGAGGUUGCCUUUAAGCUUUGGAAGGCCCCCAAGUAUGGAGCAUGAGAUAUAUUUAUCAACAGUCCAGUUACGUGAGACAAUACUCAAGUCCUAAAAUAUAGAUCAGAAUAACAGCUUCCUGUCCUGAUUCUAUAUGCAUUAUAAUCUGUCGAUUUUUAUUUUUUAUUUUGGUAAAACCAGACACUGCUUGAUGGGACAUGUUUUUACGUGCUCAUUUCUCAUUUUCCUUCCUGUUGCCAACUAAUGCAAGUGCUAGUCAUUUGAUUUCCUGACAGAUUUGUCAAUUUUCAUUCAGUCCCAGAUGUGAGCUUGGCUUAGAAAGCUA